AACGAACGCUGGCGGCAGGCCUAACACAUGCAAGUCGAGCGCCCUUUCGGGGGAGCGGCGGACGGGUGAGUAACGCGUGGGAAUAUGCCCUUCUCUACGGAAUAGCCUCGGGAAACUGAGAGUAAUACCGUAUACGCCCUGUGGGGGAAAGAUUUAUCGGAGAAGGAUUAGCCCGCGUUGGAUUAGGUAGUUGGUGGGGUAAUGGCCUACCAAGCCGACGAUCCAUAGCUGGUUUGAGAGGAUGAUCAGCCACACUGGGACUGAGACACGGCCCAGACUCCUACGGGAGGCAGCAGUGGGGAAUCUUAGACAAUGGGGGCAACCCUGAUCUAGCCAUGCCGCGUGAGUGAUGAAGGCCUUAGGGUUGUAAAGCUCUUUCAGCUGGGAAGAUAAUGACGGUACCAGCAGAAGAAGCCCCGGCUAACUCCGUG
rnacentral:rRNA from 1 species